rnacentral:misc_RNA from 1 species
GAUGAAGAACGUAGCGAAAUGCGAUAAGUAGUGUGAAUUGCAGAAUUCAGUGAAUCAUCGAAUCUUUGAACGCACAUUGCGCCCCUUGGUAUUCCAUGGGGCAUGCCUGUUCGAGCGUCAUCUACAACCCUCAAGCCCUGCUUGGUGUUGGGCGUCUGUCCCGCCCCCGCGCGCGGACUCGCCCCAAAUCCAUUGGCGGCGGCCCUUGCCUCCCUCUCGCGCAGCACAUUGCGCUUCUCGAGGCGUCGCGGGCCGCGCUCCACGAAGCACGCAAACCAGUCUUUGACCUCGGAUCAGGUAGGGAUACCCGCUGAACUUAAGCAUAUCAAUAGCGGAGGA